rnacentral:other from 1 species
GGGUUUCUGCUCUUUUCGUGAGGGCCAUUUUUUCCACUGGCCUAUAAUUUCUCGAUGGGGGCUGGCUCUGUCAUGGUUCUGGCCAUGUUACCCGGUGCCCACCUGGUUCUCCAGGCUUUCGGGAAAACCUGCGCCCCACGGAUGCUGCGGUUCCCGC